rnacentral:lncRNA from 1 species
UGAACUAUCACUUCCUCUCAACAUUUCUCUGACUUCCAUCAAAACAUUUUUGCUCAAUCUUCCACCAUCUAUGCUAAUCUCAUCUUUAACAUAUCCAUCACUUUUCAUCUCUUCCCAUGUUUGUAACCAAUCAAGAGAAGAUAUACAAGGUGCCACAAACAACACUUCACAUGCAAUUCUUGCUUCUGAGAAUUUUGUUGAAAAUUGUGACUCAAUUGAUUCCAACAAAGCCUUAUAAUGCACCAAAUUCCCUUCAAAAAAUGACAUGAAAUUCAAACUAUUUUUCAGUUUCUCAAAUGCAUCACCAUCACCAAAAGUAAUAAUUCCCUUGAUACCAUAGUUCUUGAUCAAAUCCUCAGCUACCUUUAAAAACUCGUAAGCAUGUUUUCUUCUUCUUCUAACCAUUCCCAUAUGAGGAAGACCGGUCAUCAAAUUGAAAGCCAAAAACUCUUUCUUUCCACCCGUUUCGUUCAUUAUUUUGAGCUCACUACUCAAUUGUUCCAAUUCCUUUUCCUCUACCUUCAGUAUCAAACCACAUGAUUUAGCAUACUCAUAAAGUUCCCUUUUGGUAUCCUCGAAAUUCCAAACACGUUCAGAAUUUUCAUCACUCCAUUUAAUUGAUGUCAAUUUCAAUCUUUUGUUCAUUUUUGAAACAGCCUCCAAUAGAAAAGGCCAUUGAACACCAUUUCCCAAACAAUAAUCAAUUAUGUGAAUUUCAUCACAAUCUUCUAACAUAGCAGCUUCAAGAAUUGAUGAAAUAGCUGAAAAAUGAGCAAUUUUUCCAACCAAAUUCCCUUGAUAAAAUACCUUAAAGGCAGCCUGAAAAUUCUUGUAUGCCUCGCCUUUGAGGUAUUCUCCAUGAUUUGUCACUUCUUGAGCCAAAUAAAAUGCAAGUGUCUCAAGAGAGUCACCAAUAGGAGUGGUGACUUUUUGGCUUAUACACUUCAAAUUAACUUCUGCUAGUGCUCUUUGUCCUUUCUCCAAGGCCUCUCCAUGUGCUUCCAUCAAAUGUGGAAGACUCACUUGGUUUUCAAUUUCCAUAUUUUCUUGUGGCAAAGUAAGUGAUUGUUGAAUUGAUGAAAAAUCUGAUUUCAUUGAAAGUGUUGGACUCCAUGCAUCACAGGGAGAAUUUUGUGAAGGGAAAUGAUCAUAAGUGGCACUGGCAGCCAUUUUACAACUGUCUCCGAGGGGAUUUGAAAUCUGCCCUUCGAGGUUAUGUGGAAAAUUUUGUGAAGGGAAACUCCCUUCACUUUCUUCUUGGUAAUAUUCUUGUUCAUGAAUAUUACCAGUUUGGGGACUCAAAAUGGAAUCUAAUUCCAUUAGAGAGGGAAGUUCUAAAGUUUCUUCAUCAAUUGGAAAUUGGAUAUGAUCAUUGGUGAAUAUAGAGAUUUCAGAGAGAGUGCUAUUCUCUGAAGUGCUUAAUAGAGUAUUGAAUUCAUAAUCAUAUUCAACAUGGUCAUCCAUGAUGAUGCCAUAUGGAACAUAGUCAACAUCAACAUGGUCAUCCAUGAUGAUUCCAUAUGGAUCAUAGUCAUCAACAUGGUCAACCAUGGUGAAGCUAUACGGCUCAAUAACCUGAUGAUGAUGAUGAUGAUCAAAGGUUGAUGAGUCCAUGUGUUCAUAGAUUAAUGGCCAUGGAGUGUGAAGAAUCUCUUGCUGACUCAUUUUUUAAAUGUUUUUCUUUUCUUUUGGACACUGUAGAAGAUGAGAGGAUUGUGCUGGAGAGAUUGAUGGGUAUUGUUUGACUAUUUAUAGGAAAAAAAGUUCUUGGAGGAACAAUGUGAAGACAAAAUAGAAACCAAAGGGAGAAGGUUAAGGCAAUGAUAUUAUUAUUUUUUUCAUUUGUAAAUUGCAUUUUAAUGAUGUAUUUGGAAGUUUUUGAUAAAUGCAAAAAAGUCCU